rnacentral:lncRNA from 1 species
AUGGGAAUGCUGAUGAAGCAGCUACACCAACUCCUUGCACCAGCAGCAGGUUCCUCACAGGAAAGGAGGCACCAGGAGGGGGCAGCUGCACGACAGAGCCCUCCCAAAGCAAUAUGGGGGUGUGGGUGCAAAGGCUCCCAGAAGCCAGGGUGGGAGAUGGCAGCUCCUCCUCCCAGGCAGGGUGUGGCACGCAGUGUCCCAGAGCUGGGUCGUGCCCUGCCCUCCUGGCCGGGCACACGGGGGAUUUGGUGCCCCAGAGGGGCUGAAAGCAGAGCAAGGGCUGGUUGGGAUGGUGACAAGGGUUGCCGUGCCCUUCCCCUGGCAUCAGCCAGCAGGUCGGGGAUGGGGAGGAACAGGCUCAAGAGCCCAGGGUUCACCCUGCAAACGCCCCCUGUGACUCUGGGCAGUGCCAGGCCGGCAGCUGGCUGCUGCCAGCGAGCUGCUGCCUGUGUGCUGCAGGGCUGUGGCCCCAGGAGCUCAGCCAGCCUCUCCUCUCCUCUCCCCUCCUCAGGCAGCUGCCAGUGCCCUUCUCGUGCCUGUCCUGUGACCGCAUGCUCUCCAUGCAGGUUCCUGGCCCGUACCCCGAGACACUCCCAUAUUUGCAGCCGCUGCCCCCCAGCAAGGAGACCCGGCACAGCCAAAGGAAGUCGGUGGUCAAUGGCAGUGUCCCCCGUGUGCCUCAGAGCUGUGGGGACCAUCAGAUCAGCAGCUCCACAAUGCAGCACAUCAUCGCUUCACCACAUACAAGUGCACAGGUGCAGCGUCUCCUGGUACUGUCCAACAAGCCCAGAGUGGCCCAGCUGCUGGAUAGUGGUGGACUCAUCCCGAGGGGCCGGGAUGACCAGCUUCCUGUGGUGACCAGGGCACAGGAUGAGUCAGGUACAGUCCCCCAAAACACCUGGGCACCUGGGCUGGCCCAGCCCCACCGGACAACAACCACCCCCACCCAGCUGGACGGGACCCAGCGCCCAAGGCUCGAUCUGGGACAAUUUAUCAGAAGCCAGAGAAGCCCGCAAUGACGGCCAUCAGAAACAUGACUCUUUAGUUGUAUUAAGUUAAUAAAAACCCUAGAUCGGACCCCCCCCCCCCCCCCCCCCCCCCCCCCCCCCCCCCCCCCCCCCCCCCCCCC